rnacentral:rRNA from 1 species
AGCGCGGAGACAGGUGCUGCAUGGCUGUCGUCAGCUCGUGCCGUGAGGUGUUGGGUUAAGUCCCGCAACGAGCGCAACCCUUGUUGCCAGUUGCCACCAGGUAAUGCUGGGCACUCUGGCGAGACUGCCCGGGUCAACCGGGAGGAAGGUGGGGACGACGUCAAGUCAUCAUGGCCCUUACAUCCAGGGCUACACACGUACUACAAUGGCAGAUACAAAGGGUUGCCAAGCCGCGAGGCUGCGCCAAUCCCAGAAAGUCUGUCUCAGUCCGGAUUGCAGUCUGCAACUCGACUGCAUGAAGCUGGAAUCGCUAGUAAUCCCGGAUCAGCAUGCCGGGGUGAAUACGUUCCCGGGCCUU